CGAUUCCCAGAGUCGUGGAAUUGCUGACCUAGGCUACGCUGUGGCGAGUUAACGGUCAUCAAGUCAGAAGUCUAGGAUCGAGAGGAUGACCCCCACCCUGUACUGAGACCGAACAGACUCCUACGGAGGCAGCAGUAGAUAUGUCAUGGAGGCAGUUUGACAGCAUGCGCGUGCAGGAAGACAGCCCUCUGGUCGUAAACUGCUUUAUUCGGGAAUAAACCCUACUUACGUGUAAGUAGCUGAAUGUACCGAAGGAAUAAGGAUCGGCUAACUCCGUGCCAGCAGCCGCGGUAAUACGGAGGAUCCAAGCGUUAUCCGGGAUUUAUUGGGUUUAAAGGGUGCGUAGGCGGCUUUUUAAGUCAGGGGUGAAAGACGGUGGCUCAACCAUCGCAGUGCCCUUGAUACUGAAGAGCUUGAAUGAACUAGAGGUAGGCGGAAUGUGACAAGUAGCGGUGAAAUGCAUAGAUAUGUCACAGAACACCGAUUGCGAAGGCAGCUUACUAUGGUUAUAUUGACGCUGAGGCACGAAAGCGUGGGGAUCAAACAGGAUUAGAUACCCUGGUAGUCCACGCCCUAAACGAUGAAUACUCGCUGUUAGCGAUACACAGUUAGCGGCUAAGCGAAAGCGUUAAGUAUUCCACCUGGGGAGUACGGUCGCAAGAUUGAAACUCAAAGGAAUUGACGGGGGCCCGCACAAGCGGAGGAGCAUGUGGUUUAAUUCGAUGAUACGCGAGGAACCUUACCCGGGCUUGAAAGUUAGUGAAUCAUUUAGAGAUAGAUGAGUCCGCAAGGACACGAAACUAGGUGCUGCAUGGCUGUCGUCAGCUCGUGCCGUGAGGUGUUGGGUUAAGUCCCGCAACGAGCGCAACCCCUAUGUUUAGUUGCCAGCACGUUAUGGUGGGGACUCUAAACAGACUGCCUGUGCAAACAGAGAGGAAGGAGGGGACGACGUCAAGUCAUCAUGGCCCUUACGUCCGGGGCUACACACGUGCUACAAUGGAUGGUACAGAGGGCAGCAAGCUGGUAACAGCAAGCCAAUCUCCAAAAGCCAUUCACAGUUCGGAUAGAGGUCUGCAACUCGACCUCUUGAAGUUGGAUUCGCUAGUAAUCGCAUAUCAGCAAUGAUGCGGUGAAUACGUUCCCGGGCCUUGUACACACCGCCCGUCAAGCCAUGGAAGUUGGGGGUACCUAAAGUAUGUAACCGCAAGGAGCGUCCUAGGAAGCCGUCCUCAC
rnacentral:rRNA from 1 species